AAAGUCUGCACUGAGCAUUUUUAUUUCUUUGUUUUGUUUUGUUUUGUUUUGUUUUACAAUUUCCUACCAACCAACCAACAAAACAAAAAACAAAACAAGACACCUGUUAAGAGCUAUGAGCUGUGACUGUGGGUAGAGGUCUAUGGCAGAACUGGUGGUUAGUGUGUGCAAUGGGGCCCUGGGUGCCAACCUCAGCAAACGAAACCAAAUCAACAAAGUAGUAUCAGUGACAAACAGGCCCAGGUGACAGACGUAUGUUGACACAGGCAUGAAUACAAGGUGGAGACCCCCCAGCCUCUCAGUUCCACUCCAAGCAUAGCCACUGUGCAAGCACAGCAACAGGCACAGUUCUUGCUGGCUCUGCAGGAGGGAGGCGAGGUUUGCAGGAUGAGGAAACUCUGUCUGCUAAGGUCUGCUUCAUUUGUCACGCAAGCCACACAAGCACAUUUCGGCUUUCUUUGCUGAACUUCUAAGUCCAGAUUUUCAUACUAAGUCACUUUCAUUGAAAAAAAGAAAAAAAACAAAAAAACAAAAAAAAAAC
rnacentral:lncRNA from 1 species